rnacentral:rRNA from 1 species
UACAGAGGUCCCAAGCGUUGUUCGGAUUCACUGGGCGUAAAGGGUGCGUAGGUGGCCAGGUAAGUUCGGUGUGAAAGCUCGGAGCUUAACUCCGAAAUGGCAUUGAAUACUAUCUGGCUAGAGGGUCGGAGGGGAGACUGGAAUUCUCGGUGUAGCAGUGAAAUGCGUAGAUAUCGAGAGGAACACCAGUGGCGAAGGCGAGUCUCUGGACGACACCUGACACUGAGGCACGAAAGCCAGGGGAGCAAACAGGAUUAGAUACCCCUAG